rnacentral:rRNA from 1 species
CAACAAUUGACGUUAAUUACAGAAGAAGCACCGGCUAACUCCGUGCCAGCAGCCGCGGUAAUACGGAGGGUGCGAGCGUUAAUCGGAAUGACUGGGCGUAAAGGGCAUGUAGGCGGAUAAUUAAGUUAGGUGUGAAAGCCCUGGGCUCAACCUAGGAAUUGCACUUAAAACUGGUUAACUAGAGUAUUGUAGAGGAAGGUAGAAUUCCACGUGUAGCGGUGAAAUGCGUAGAGAUGUGGAGGAAUACCGGUGGCGAAGGCGGCCUUCUGGACAGAUACUGACGCUGAGAUGCGAAAGCGUGGGGAGCAAACAGGAUUAGAUACCCUGGUAGUCCACGCUGUAAACGAUGUCGAUUUGGAGUUUGUUGCCUAGAGUGAUGGGCUCCGAAGCUAACGCGAUAAAUCGACCGCCUGGGGAGUACGGCCGCAAGGUUAAAACUCAAAUGAAUUGACGGGGGCCCGCACAAGCGGUGGAGCAUGUGGUUUAAUUCGAUGCAACGCGAAGAACCUUACCUGGUCUUGACAUCCACAGAAUCCUGUAGAGAUAUGGGAGUGCCUUCGGGAACUGUGAGACAGGUGCUGCAUGGCUGUCGUCAGCUCGUGUUGUGAAAUGUUGGGUUAAGUCCCGCAACGAGCGCAACCCUUAUCCUUUGUUGCCAUCGGUUUGGCCGGGAACUCAAAGGAGACUGCCGUUGAUAAAGCGGAGGAAGGUGGGGACGACGUCAAGUCAUCAUGGCCCUUACGACCAGGGCUACACACGUGCUACAAUGGCGUAUACAAAGGGAGGCGACCUCGCGAGAGCAAGCGGACCUCAUAAAGUACGUCUAAGUCCGGAUUGGAGUCUGCAACUCGACUCCAUGAAGUCGGAAUCGCUAGUAAUCGUGAAUCAGAAUGUCACGGUGAAUACGUUCCCGGGCCUUGUACACACCGCCCGUCACACCAUGGGAGUGGGUUGCACCAGAAGUAGAUAGCUUAACCUUCGGGAGGGCGUUUACCACGGUGUGGUUCAUGACUGGGGUGAAGUCGUAACAAGGUAACCGUAGGGGAACCUGCGGUUGGAUCACCUCCUUAC